UUGGAAUCGUGAUGCUGAUACUCACAGGAAUAUUAUUGAUAGCUUUUCUGUGGUAUUGCUGUGCCUAUUACCAUUUCAUGCAUGAGUAUGUUUAUUUUAUCCUUGUAUUAUGUUGUUUUAGUAUUCUAAGAGUUUCUUAUAAGUAAGUCCUGGAACGAGGAUAUUAUUGAGUCCAAUAACACUAUUAUAAUAUAAUAGUUAUAAUGAAAUUAUAGCAUAACACUUUGGAAUACUAUCAGUGAAAAGAAUGCUAAGCUCAUUAUUAGGAAAUGUUUUAUGUUUUUAUGUCAUAAAAUAAUAUAUCCACACGGUAAGGAUAAGUUAAAAAGUACAGAAAUUAUAGCUUGAAAAGAAAAAAUAAUUAAUUUUCCUAUUUCCAACACCUUCUUGCCAGAUAUUAUCCUCUUAGUUACAAAUGUCACUCAUCAAAACAUCUUUAAAUCAUAUUUGUACUGUCAAACUUUUGAAAUGUUACAUAGAACGUACUUUGUACUUCUUUUGCUGGUUACUUCCUCUUAUUUGAAUUAGAUAGUUAUAUCUUCUUUUCAUGACUUCUUUUUUAAAAAAUAUUUUAUUUUUUUUAAAUAGUUGGACACAAUACCUUUUAUUUCAUUUAUUUAUUUUUAUGUGGUGCUGAGGAUAGAACCCAGGGCCUCAUAGGUGCUAGGCAGUGCUCUACCGCUGAAGCCACAACCCCAGCCCUUUUUUUUUUAGUACCAGGAAUUGAACCCAGGGGCACUCAACCACUGAACCAGAUCACCACCCUUUUUUAAAUUUCAUUUAGAGACAGGGUCUCACGAAGUUAGUCAGGGCUUGCUAAAUACCUGAGGAUGGCUUUGAACUCACGAUCCUCCUGCCUCAGCCUCCUGAGCUGCUGGUAUUACAGGUUUUUCCUGACUUACUGACUUUACAUGCUAUUCAUUGAUUCCCCGUCAUGAAAGUUGAAGAUUUUAUCUUUCACUAUCAAUGAAUUUUUUAUUAUUUUGUUGUUAGUAGAUAAUAUCAUCUUUUUAUUUGGGGAUUUAAAAUUAUUAUUUGUCAUUCUUUGUGCUUAUUAGACCUUAAGAUUACUAAUAUUUCUUCUGCUGGCUAUCUUGUGGACUUUGAAUAAUCCAUUUAACCUCUAUUUUUAUAUCUCAGUACUUCUCCCAUUAUUUUUAAAAUAAGACAAUUUGAUUCCCUGUAUUUUCUUACAUUCAUCCUUUCCUUCUAUCUCUUAAAUCCUGUAAAUUUUCUCAUUAAUUUAACCCUGCCAAAUGUGUAAUAUUUAUGUUGUGUCCUGGGAUAUAAUUAUCUUGAAGUGCUUACUCUAUGGUUUGAGCAUAAAUUUUUUAAACUACUUAAGAGACUAAAACAUAUUAUAAUGGUUUAAAUAUUGUUCACUAAGGAACCAAAGUGGAAGUAGGAAACACAAUGCUAUACUACUAGUUUGCAUUGUUUCAAGGUGUCAAGACCAAGUGGAUUCUCUUUUCUUAUUCUCCAUUUCUCAAGAUCAUGCUGCAUUUCAGCUUGCUUCAUGCGUAUACUGUGACUUUUCAAUACAAUUUCUGAAUUUUCUACAGUUUAUAACUAUUUUAAUUAUUUCUUGUUAAAAAUCCAUAUAUGUUUAUUCCUACCGCUUUGACCAUUUGUCUUAUACUUAAUAAAAUGUUUUCAUUUUCUUCCAAUGGACAUUCUUCUGAAAGUCCUCUGACAUCAGGUUCUAAUGUACAAAAAUUAGUAGAAUUCUCUUGAUUAUUCUACUGAAUUAGGAGAACUUUUAGGUUCUCUUAUCAUCCUCAUUUUAGUAUUUUUUUUCUUUUCCUAUGGUACCUUAUCAUGUGAUUUUGUUUCAAAGUGAGUUUGCCAAAGGUUUGGAGAAUAUUUCUGUAGUUCAUAUCUGCCUAUAAAUUUGGGUUUUUUUCCCUCCUAAUGCUCAAUAUGGUUUUAUUUUCUUUAUUCAGAUCAUAAAUCUUUUAUAAGAAGGACCCAUAGAUAAGAUAGAUAGAACCAAAGAUAAAAUAGGUGUCCACUAACAGGCUUAGGAAAAAAUAUAAGGACUGCCUAAAUAUUCUGCUUGUUUAAGACCUCCAUUUUUGUCUAUGAAUUUGUAUUUCUCUAGCUUCAAGAUUUUCUGUUCUUUCUUUGUGAACAUAUAAGGACAAGAUAGGAUAAGAUAGAAGAUAUUCCUUAUUCUACACCCCACCCCCGCCUCCUUAUUCUUUACCUCUAAAAAAAUAACAAAGAAAGGUAGGGAAAGAAAGAGCUCUUGAACACAUUACAUAUGUGGCAAGAGGCUGCUUUUUAUUUACUUUUAUUUUUUAUAUUUUCCUUCCAAGAUCCUGACUUCUUGUGUAAUCAUUUUCUUUGUAUUUAUGUAUAAAAUGGCAAAUUUUACCCCUAAGAGUAGGGUGUUGAGCAAAGAGCCAUCAGCAAAGCUUGGGGAGAGGUUGUUUGUUUUGUGGUACUAGGGAUUGAACCCAGGGGCGCUCUAGCACUGAGCUAUGUUCCCUGUCCUUUUGUUGUUAUAUAAAUUAGCCCAUUUAUUAUAGGCUAGGGAUGUCUCAAAUGGUAGAACUUCUACUGGUUUUUUUCAAUUCCUUCAGCCUUCUGAUUGCAGACUUGACUGUGAAAGUGGAAGUGGUGUUGUAGGUCCAGGCAUCACCAGCCACUGUUUUCAAUGCAGGAUCAGCACUGCCAGAUCCCCCCAGUUGGUCUCUUUCAUCUUGGUUUUGACACAGAAGGAGCAAGUGUACUUGGCAUGCUGGCUGAUUUCAAAUUUCUUAACCAUUUUCUGGAGGGAGGCACUGUAGAGGGUCCCAUAUUUACUAAUAAUUCCGACCUUCUUGGUGUGUUUAGCCUUGUCGCUGCAACUUAGGCUGGGAGAGCCCCAGUCCUUUUUAUUUUUUAUUUUGAGACGUAUUUUUCCUAAAUCGCAGACACUAGCCUUGAACUUGCGAUCCUCCCACCUCAGCGUCUGAGCAGCUAAAAUUACAGGGAAGAUUCUUUAAUCUACAAUUCAGAAGAAAAAACAUGAAUCCUGUCUGCAAAUACGGUUCAACAAUUGCACUUAGUUUUUGUUUAACUUAGUUAUUCUCAUACCAUCUCUUCUGUUUGAUUUUGUACUAUAGAUAUUCUAGGCCUUGUUAAUUAGGUGGAAACUGUAUUCUGCUAGAAGAAUUUAUACUAUUAAGGAUUUAUUGUACAACCAGAGAAGUGGAAAAUCAUGUUCCAUUUGUGUACUUUGAAUUGAAGUGCCUUCAGCUGUCAUUAUAACUAAUUAGAACAAAAAAAAAAUUUUUUAAAAGACUUAUUGUACUUUAAAAUCCAAUGAUCUUGGUUGGCUUCUGGAAGCAUCAGUCUGCUGGACAUGCAACUCAGUGGUAGAGUAUUGCCUACCACAUGCAAGGUGCUGAGGUCUAUCCUUAGCGGUGCCAAAAAAAAAAAAUUAAUUCCUUGUAGAAACAUCAGUCUUUCUUUUCAAUAAUACCCUUAAAUGACCAAUGAAGCAUCAAAAUAUUGAUUGCUGAUUUGAUAUAAUAUUCUUGUUUUCAGCCAUAUAAUUAUAAACACUAAAGCACUUUAAAAAGUUCUAAAUGUUAAGGGAAUAUAAAUAUUUGCCCACAUACUUGGUGCCUCCUUGAUUCUCAUCUAUUCCUUCUGAAAACCUUUGUUAAAUACUCAUUAUGCACUAGGUAGUAUCUUUGUCAUUAAGGAUGUAAUGAUGAAAAAGAAAGAUCAAGGUCUGGGGUUGUGGCUCAGAGGUAGAGCCCUCACCUACCAUGCGUGAGGCACUGGAUUCAAUCCUUAGCACCACAUAAAAAUAAAGAUUUUGUGUCCACCUAUAACUAAAAAGAUAAAUAUUUUUUUAAAAAAAGAUCAAACCCUUGCCUUCACAGAGUUUACACUCUAGUAAGGGGAUACAGAAAAUAAAAUAAGCAAUUGUUAAAUUUAUUACUAAUUAUUGAUAUUUUAAAUGACAUUCCAUUUAUUUUAAUUGAUUUUUUAUAAUCAAAUGCUUUAAUUCUUCUGUGGAUAGAUUAAAAAGAGAAUUCUAUAUAAUAAAGCAAGGAAAACAAAAUAUUAUAUAAAUGUGCUCUAUCUAAUAAAAUAAUUUUAACCCUAACUAUUCUGAAAAUAAGCCUAAUUCUACAUUCACCACUAUUUUGAACAGAUAUAGAACCAACAUUUAUUCAAGAGGAGUAACGGUUCCUGUAAACACCUGGAAUGUUGGUGGCAAGUACUUCCAUUUAUUUUAUGGGGUGUCCUGGGCCUUUCCAGUAACUGACAGUUGAAAAUCCCUUCCUUACUUAUUCCACCAUCAAAAUUAAAGUAUGAAUGGGAAACGUAACAGCAGAUUUCAUUGUUCUCCUUUCUGAGACAUACUCUUAUAACUUCAAUAGCUACACUAGAGUUGGUAAAAAAAAACCACAAUGUUGAUGGAGAAGUGUUAAAAUUUUUGGACUCAGUUGGGGAUGUAAUUGCUUCCUUUGUUCCUCAAUUCAUACUCAACCCAGAAAACUUAACAAAAACGAACUUUGCCUUAAGGAAUCUUUGCACACUUUCCCUAAAUUAAUUCACUUCAUCUUACCUAUUACCUUAGGUGACCCAGUGUCCUCUCUUCGACUCAAUUCUUUAAUCUUUCCCUUAGUUAUAAGGCUCUCCCUUACUCAGGACUCAACUCUUAGCUUCCUUUGGCUCAUCACCCAGUUCCUGGGCAGGCCUAUUGCCACUUUGCUGCUCAGGCUUAGAUCCCAGAGCCCCAAUUGGAGUCAGAACUGUGCCCCUACCCCACACCACCUGUUCACUUGAUUAAAUGGACCUCAAAAAUUUUUAGAUAAUAUGAUUGAGGAAAGGGUGCUAUAAGGUCCUUUAUAAUUACCACUAAAAAUAACUUUAGGGGGUUGGAGGUUACAUCUAGAUUAUUAUGGUGUUCUGGACCACAGAGGCAAAUGCUAAAAGCCUGGAACCACAUUUUAGGUUCCAAAAUUUGAGUGAAGAGCAGAGCUAACCUUAAAGGGCAAGGAUGAAAUAUUGAGCACAUACACACUCCAUUGCCAACUCCUAGAUCCUGUUAUGUAGAAAUUGUGUUGGUGAUAUUGGAAUGAGAUGUUUCAGAAAGCUAUUUCAGAAGAGGAGCUAAAGUGCAGGCAAUUGCUACUUUUUCCCAGAGUUGAAAUCAAACCAGAAGACUACAGAGAAUUUACUUUAUUUCAGGGUUUUUUCCCCUCCACUUUAAAUUCCACGAGAAUUUGUAGGAGAAAUGGUUGGAAAAGAGCACAGGGUUGUAUUCUUCUUUAUUUUAGGUAGAAACAGCUUACAGAUAGAGAACCAUUAGUUAUAUUAGAUCCAUUAUAAGGAAUAAAUGGUAAUCGAAUUCACAAGGCAAGAUUAUUUUCCAUGCUGCAUUAAAAGGUUAAUAAGGGAAAUAAAAAUCUUGCAAAAGGAAUUAGGAAAAAGAUAAAAAAGCAUGAGACAACAGUGUCAUAGAGAUCAAGAAAAGAUGGUCUGAAUGUGGAGGGAGACUCAGCAUCUUUUGGAGUUACAAAUUGGGAGCCUAUUUGCAUAUGAUAGUCUUAAAAGUGCAAGCCAGAACCAGGAGACUUCUGACUUGUGGAGAAGCAAAGUAUGGAACCUGUAAGAUGUUAUAUAGUGUGUGUGUUAUUAAUCUGUGAUGCUCCUCAUUUACAAAAUUUACAAAAGGAACAAUUUUCCAGGAGAGGUAGUAAUAGCAUUGCUCUUCAUCCUCAUUUCUUUCCUAGAAAAUAAAUUCAGAAGAUGAUUUGCUAAAAGUAGAGAUUCACUGAUUAUGCACAAAUUUUUUUCUCACUGGAGACAACAAGUUUUGGGUUUACUUCAAAUAUUUGACCUUUUUUUCUUUGUCAAAUUCACACCCAAGGUAAUACUUCCUUAAGGCAUUUGAUCCCUAAAUAUUAAAAUAACAAUAAAAUCUCAGAGUAGAAAAACUUUGAUUGUCUAUCAAUAUUUUGUGGUUAACAUUUUCAAAUUAGGUAAAUUUUUGUUGACUUUUGCUAGAAAGAAUUGGAAAAGGUAAACUUAUUUUCUCUUUUCAUAGGAUAUGAGGAAUAGAUAACAGAUCUUCCAGAGAAAGAAGUGUCUUCAAUGGUAAAGUUCCCAAAGAGGAUAUCACAUGAAUUUCCUACAUGUAAUCCGCCCCCCCCCCCAUCUAUUAAACAACUUUGCGGGAAUGGAAUUUGCAUUAUUAAGAAAGAAAAUGGGAAAUCAAAUCUGUAAAAUGUAGACAAAUUUUCAAUACCUGAACAUUUAAUAAAAGACGGCAGAAAAUGAAGAUACAAUAGUGCCUAAAUAAAGCUGUUUUAGAAAUCUGAGUGUGGUUAGUGUAGCUAAAUGUUGAUUUAGGUUGUCUUUCCAAAUACCAGCACUUCUUUUGAUUUUGCACUAGUUCAUUUGUUUCUACUGGAAUCUUUACUAUUUCUGUUUUCUACUAACUUUGCCCUUAAUUUGUUAU
rnacentral:lncRNA from 1 species